GACGAACGCUGGCGGCGUGCUUAACGCAUGCAAGUCGAACGGAGAGGCCCUGCUUUUGUGGGGUGCUCGAGUGGCGAACGGGUGAGUAACACGUGAGUAACCUGUCCUUGACUUUGGGAUAACUUCAGGAAACUGGGGCUAAUACCGGAUAGGAGCUCCUGCUGCAUGGUGGGGGUUGGAAAGUUUCGGCGGUUGGGGAUGGACUCGCGGCUUAUCAGCUUGUUGGUGGGGUAGUGGCUUACCAAGGCUUUGACGGGUAGCCGGCCUGAGAGGGUGACCGGCCACAUUGGGACUGAGAUACGGCCCAGACUCCUACGGGAGGCAGCAGUGGGGAAUAUUGCACAAUGGGCGGAAGCCUGAUGCAGCAACGCCGCGUGCGGGAUGACGGCCUUCGGGUUGUAAACCGCUUUCGCCUGUGACGAAGCGUGAGUGACGGUAAUGGGUAAAGAAGCACCGGCUAACUACGUG
rnacentral:rRNA from 1 species